CCUCGACGACGUCAUGCAGGCCGAGCACAUGAUGGCGAUGGCCGCACAUCAAGCCCGACUCGGCGUGCCGGACAACGCGAGUGGAGAUGAAGCCA
rnacentral:rRNA from 1 species